rnacentral:lncRNA from 1 species
UAGCAUCUAUUGUCUAUUAUUAGGGAUUGAUAUAAUCCAAUUAUAUCAUGAAAUAUAUCAUUAUAGAUUUUCAUCCCAUGUAUAUAGACUAUAUCUCCCAUAUACAUUCUAUCUUCAUAUAUUGUUUUAAAGUCAUAACUUUAAAGAAGAAGUAUCCUUUUCAUUUCCAAAAUUAAUAUAUCAUAUAUAUUUAAAUUUUAGGAACAUGAUUAACUCCCAUAUACAUUCUAUCUUCAUAUAAUGUUUCAAAGUCUUAACUUUAAAGAAGAAGUAUUCUUUGCAUUUCCAAAAUUAAUAUAUCAUAUAUAUUUAAAUUUUAGGAACAUGAUUAACUCCCACUAACCUUUUGUAAACCUAGUAAACAAAAGAUUCAUUUACAUCUUUAUGAGAAAUCAAAUGAUUUGAUCCUUUUCUCAUAAGAUGCUUAUAGCUCCCACUAGCUUGCUAAGAUUCAUGAUGGAUGGAUCUCUACAACUUAUAUGUCUUGUGAUUCAUAGUUUUAGACAUAUAUAUUAUCAAGACUAUCUUAAUAAUGGUUUCGGAAACCCAUAUAAUGUCCAAACAUUGAAUCACCAUUUAGUUGUAGCUAGCUAUCUUCGAAUUAAUUGAAACCAAGACUACGUCAAAA